AACGAACGCUGGCGGCAGGCCUAAUACAUGCAAGUCGAACGGGCGUAGCAAUACGUCAGUGGCGGACGGGUGAGUAACACGUGGGAACAUGCCUUUCGGUUCGGAAUAACGCAGGGAAACUUGCGCUAAUACCGGAUGACCCGGCGACGGAAAGAUUAUCGCCGAAGAUUGGCCGCGUAGGAUUAGCUAGUUGGUGAGGUAACGGCCCACCAAGGCGACGAUCCUUAGCUGGUUUGAGAGAACGAUCAGCCACACUGGGACUGAGACACGGCCCAGACUCCUACGGGAGGCAGCAGUAGGGAAUCUUGGACAAUGGGGGAAACCCUGAUCCAGCCAUGCCGCGUGAGUGAUGAAGGCC
rnacentral:rRNA from 1 species